UACGAAGGGGGCUAGCGUUGUUCGGAAUUACUGGGCGUAAAGCGCGCGCAGGCGGUUUUUCAAGUCAGUGGUGAAAGCCCGGAGCUCAACUCCGGAAAUGCCAUUGAAACUGUUAAACUUGAGGAUGAGAGAGGUGAGUGGAAUUCCCAGUGUAGAGGUGAAAUUCGUAGAUAUUGGGAAGAACACCGGUGGCGAAGGCGGCUCACUGGGCCUGUACUGACGCUGAGGAGCGAAAGCGUGGGGAGCGAACAGG
rnacentral:rRNA from 1 species